CCUACGGGUGGCAGCAGUGAGGAAUAUUGCACAAUGGAGGAAACUCUGAUGCAGCAACGCCGCGUGGAGGAUGACGCAUUUCGGUGUGUAAACUCCUUUUAAGAGGGAAGAUAAUGACGGUACCUCUUGAAUAAGCACCGGCUAACUCCGUGCCAGCAGCCGCGGUAAUACGGAGGGUGCAAGCGUUACUCGGAAUCACUGGGCGUAAAGGGUGCGUAGGCUGGCUUCUAAGUCAGAUGUGAAAUCCAAUGGCUUAACCAUUGAACUGCAUUUGAAACUGGGAGCCUAGAGUUCAGAAGGGGCAGAUGGAAUUAGUGGUGUAGGGGUAAAAUCCGUAGAUAUCACUAGGAAUAUCAAAAGCGAAGGCGAUCUGCUGGGAUGAUACUGACGCUGAGGCACGAAAGCGUGGGGAGCAAACAGGAUUAGAUACCCGAGUAGUC
rnacentral:rRNA from 1 species